CUUCCGGUUUGGGUCAUCGGUUCGGUACGGUAUGAAACCAUACCGAACCAUACCACCGGUUGGCCGAAACGACCGGCGGUACCGGUUCAGCAUAUUUAGGUUUGCUCCAAUAACCAUCUUAUUCGGUCAGAAUAGAAAUGUGAAAGCAACUGCUUGUCAAUAUUAUCGCUGUUUGCCAGUAAAUCAUUAAAACAAAUUGAUUGGAUGGUUAAUGGAUUAUAAAUUUUCGCAUGCAUAACUACUGAUUCAGUAUGUUUCAAAAAGAGCCAUGUUGUCGUUUACUUCUAUACCUUAUGAUCAAAGUUUAAUUACUGGUUGUUUAGACAUUACACAAUAAGUUACAUCUUCAUCUAGGUUUAUUCUUAUUGUCUGGACUGAAUGCAGACACUUCUAGAGUAGGAAUCCACACGCUAUGCUUCUACCUGGUCGCCAAUAUCUUAUUCUUUGGUUCUUAUCGACUGAUACCAUAAAGUCACUCUUGCCUUGGUAGUAGCUUUUAGCAUAAUUGUAGUUAAGGAGCUUCAGCUGCAGUCCUGCUCUGAAAUCGUUAUGAGGUUCUUCAUGGUUGUGCAUUUUUGAGUGAUAUUUCACCUUAUACACUGGAACAUGCCAUGUGGUGCAUCAUUCCUUCCCCAUUAUGGGAUCAUUUGUUUGUAUACCCAUGUUAAUUAUUUAUAUCCCAAUCUGUACCUCCCUUUGGAUGCUUCACUAUCUUCUUUGCACUAUUUAAUCCUCUUAUGGCAAGCAUGUUAUGAUCUGCCUUAAUGUUUUUUUUUGUGUCUGUGUCUAAGAGAGGACAGGAUGAAUGAGGGAAUAUUUUUGGGGCUUAAAACCUUGUCCAUGUUUGUGUUCGUGAAUUGUAUUGGACAUAGACCAUGUAUGUACACACUUCGCUUCGUUGUGGUGUCCUGUUAUGAGGUUACAUGGUCCCCAUUUAAAUGUGUAUAUCUGGCCUAUAUUCAAUAUGAUCAUGUAUCAGAUAUGGGCCAUGCAUGUAUACAGUUCACAUCAAUUUGGUAUCCUUUUAUGACGGUAUGGUCCCCCAUUAAAUGUAUAUAUCUGGCUUGUGAAUUUACUGGCACUCUACUCCACUUAAGUCACAUGACAAAAUUCUUGAUGCUGCAUUCGCAGGUGAAAAACACAAAUUGGGAGUAGUGCAAAUAAGGAAAAACUACAAAUUAGCUUGCCUGAGGCCUAUUUUUUCUUUCACUUUAAUAGAUGGACAAACUGCUCCUGCAAGGUCCACUUUUAGAGGAGGCCCUUCCUUGUUAGCUUAUGUAGUGUGGCUGGUACAAGUACUAUGAAUGUGUAAAAGAUCCUUUUUCACCUUUUCCCAUGAAAACCAUACAGAAAGGCAACUGAACCACUCAAUGCAUAAAUCUACUGACUUUAGGACUUCCUCUUGAAUGGAAUUCCUGUCAUUUUAAUUGAUUCUUUGAGAGCAAUUGCAAACCAUUCCAAAGUGUUUAGUUCCAAUAAAAGUUGUUUGUUUUGUAAUGUCACUGACUUUAGUUGUUUGUUCCAAUAGAAGCAUAGCAAAGAUUCUGAAGUCUGACAAAAAAAGGGAAGUCAAAAUAAACGUACUUUCAGGAAUAUGAUUGGGUGUUUUCUUUGUCUGAGUUAUUAUUUUGCACAGAGGGCACAUGAUUCAGGGCUAGGGAUGCUUGUAUUCUUUGUUGAACAGGCAAAUUAUAUAUGGACAUGUGUUGAGUGAAUUGCUCUGUUAUGAUGGGUGGUCUUGAUAGCUUUAAUCUUUAUGAGGCUGACUUGGUCAUGUCAGACACACGGUAAACUUUACUACUAAAAAUGAUUGAGGCAUAAUCACUAACUUUUAGAUCUAACUAUCCUGAGUUAUGCCACACCAUGAAUGAAUAUUAUAGCUUUCUUGUUUAGUGGAAUGUAGGGCUGCAAACUAUCCGAGCUGCUCACGAGCUGCUCUGGGGCUCGGCUGAGUUAGUAAAUGAGCUGAGCACAAACACUUUUUUAGAGCUUUGUUCAUAAACAAGUCGAGCCUGAACAUGAGCUGGUCUACAAAACCGGGUGGGGGGGAGGGGGGGUGCGGCAAACUAGGCUUAUGUAGGACAAGGUUAGUUUGGAGCUUAUACAUGCCAAGCUUGAACUACUGAGGUAAUGCUUGGCUUGAGCUUGAGCCGAGCUCGAGCAACUCAGGUUUAUACUGAGUCUAGCUCGAGCAGCCAGAUAGUUGGCUCAGCUUGUUUGCACCCUUAGUCAAAUGGUUGUUAAAUCAUUUUAUAUUCCUUUUUUUGAUUCAGACUGCAAUAAAUUUUUCUGUCUUCAAAACACCAAGUCACAUGACCGAUUUGGCUAAUUAAACAAAUAUACCUAACAUUGCAAGAUUUUAUUUUUUUGAUAUUCCAGUGAAUAAGCUUCUAUGGUAGCUUUCUACAUCAGGAACCUGAAUGCAUGAGAAAUGUGCAAAGCAGCAUCGGGAUGCAAUUGAAGGUUGCACCGGUGCACAGACCUGGAGAAUGCUUCUGGAAAUGAAUGCUGCAUCUGUAAUUAUUGCACAAGUUCAUUAAAUUCAUUAGACUGCCAGAUUAAAGUGCCUGUAGAUGCUGAAGCCACUGAAAACACCUCCAGUACAGCGUCGAUAGAGUGGUUUCCAGAUAAAGCUUCCAGGUCUGAAGACGGGCUAGAUAAAGAAUGGGAGCAAGGAUAGUUAAUCCAAAAUCAGCAUGUUACAGUAUUGUUGUCAUGGAAAGUCUCAUUGCAGAAUUGGUAGAUCCAGCUCAGUAUAAACAACCUGCAUUUGAAGAACAUGAUAUGAUUUUACCAACAAAAAACAUGGCAUGAUAAUCAGCAAGGCUGUUGGUAAAUGAUGAAAUAUUAUCUUUUUUGUCUGCAUGUACAUGUACUGCUGUACAAAUGACAUUUUAAUUAAAAGGUAAAAUUGGAUUUAACAGACUGAAGUGUAAGAUUUUAUAUGGAUUUGUGUUGGGUCGAUGGUGUAAAUUUGCUCUUCUUCACUAAGAAUUCUUUCUAUUGAAUGGAAAAUUUCUUGCAAGAA